rnacentral:rRNA from 2 species
CACCGGCGGCCCGAGUGGUAACCGCUUUUAUUGGGUCUAAAGGGUCUGUAGCCGGCCAAGUAAGUCCCUUGGGAAAUCUGGCAGCUUAACUGUCAGGCUGCUAGGGGAUACUGCUAGGCUUGGGACCGGGAGAGGUGAGAGGUACCUUGGGGGUAGGGGUGAAAUCUUGUGAUCCUCGGGGGACCACCAGUGGCGAAGGCGUCUCACCAGAACGGGUCCGACGGUAAGGGACGAAAGCUAGGGGCACGAACCGG